UGCGAGUUUAAUAGAACCAUUAGACGAAGGAAACGAAAUCCAAAAUCUGUAAAUAAGAAGAAGGAGUAUUAUUUGGAGGAAGAUUUAAAUAGAAAACUAUGCGAAGAUAAUAAUUACCAGCGGUUGCAAUUUGACGUAACAUUUGGCUACUUGAAACGCUUUGUCGCAGGGAUCAUCUCCGGCUGAAAGAAAAACUUCUCGUUACCUUUGGGAUUCGAAAGAUUUUUAUUGAUCUUAAAGAAGGGGUUUGCGAAGGCAAAAGUCGAAAAGUAGAAUCGAAUGGAAUCAAGAAAGAAAAUACUUACAAACAGACUUGCAUCGCUGGAAUAUCUCCCACGAGGAUUCCUGCAUAAAUUUCGGACUUUCUAUUUUAGGAGGACAUGAUACGGCGAACGAACAAACUCAUGGUUCUCUAGGACAAUAGAACUAUCGUGUACUCCAAAACGAGAGCGAUGCAAGGUAUUGUGCGUGUACGCGGUGCAACGUGAUGGUCGUAACAUUCGUCGGACGUAACGAAUUUCGAGAAAGAGAAGAGCAUCGACACGGAGAAUGAACAUUGGAGGUCAACGAUGCGUCGAAUCUCGAGAGACCUUUAAAAACAUAGAUAUAGAAAAAAAUAGAAAAACAACUGACGUCACGAGUAUCGUCCGAUAGAAAAAAUUAGGAAGAGUAAUUGUCUUUUAUUUAUUGCAAAAAGUAUCGAUAAAAAAGUCUGGAAUGAAAUGCACGGGUUUGACACAAAUUCGAUUGGAUCAAAACGCAAAUUCGUGUUCGAAAGAGAUAUAGAUUUAUCGAAGAAUUAAAAUAAGGAUAUUUCCGAAUUAUAAUCAUCGCCAUUAAAUUUGACGGUAUCGUUUUUAUUGUUUUUGUGUUUAUUGUAUCGUACGUUUACAACUUUCACUCAAACGUGUGCUUUUACGAUCAACGACCCACAAUCACAUUGAAAAAAUUGGAUUGGUAGAAAAUUUACUAGACCAUCGAUUAUCGAUCAAAGACGUACCAGAAGAGCCAAGAGAAUCGUGC